rnacentral:rRNA from 1 species
AUUGAACGCUAGCGGGAUGCUUUACACAUGCAAGUCGAACGAGUGGCGGACGGGUGAGUAAUGUAAAGGAAUGUGCCCAGUAGCGGGGGAUAACUACUGGAAAGAGUGGCUAAUACCUCAUACUAUCGGAGUGGCCGAUGUCGGAUUAGAUAGUUGGUGGGGUAAAGGCUCACCAAGGUGACGAUCCCUAGCUGGUGUGAGAGGACGACCAGCCACACUGGGACUGAGACACGGCCCAGACUCCUACGGGAGGCAGCAGUGGGGAAUUUUGGGCAAUUGGGGAAACCCUGAUCCAGCAAUGCCGCGUGUAUGAGAAGGCCUUCGGGUUGUAAAGUACUUUUGGCAGGGAAGCGUUAUCUACAGAAUAAGCACCGGCUAACUACGUGCCAGCAGCCGCGGUAAUAC